GCUAAGGCCCCAAAAUGACCGCCAAGUGGAAAAGGAUGUGACAAUGCUGAAACAGCCAGGAGGUUUGCUUAGAAGCAGCCACCCUUUAAAGAGUGCGUAAUAGCUCACUGGUAGAGCGUUGUUGCGCCGAAAAUGGACGGGACUAAGCGGUCUGCCGAAGCUGUGGGACAUCGAUUCGAUGUCGGUAGGGGAGCGUUCCGCCUUGGGUGAAGCACCGACGUCAGUCGGUGUGGACGGGGCGGAAGUGAGAAUGUCGGCUUGAGUAACGCAAACAUUGGUGAGAAUCCAAUGCCCCGACAACCUAAGGGUUCCUUCCGUAGGCUCGUCCAGGGAGGGUGAGUCAGGACCUAAGAUCAGGCCGAAAGGCGUCGUCGAUGGAAAACAGGUUAAUAUUCCUGUACUUAUGUUCGAUUGGUACCGAGGGACGAAGAAGGCGAUGGGUGGCUUCCAUUGGGUGGAGGUGAAAGCAUUCAAGGCGUUGAAGAAUGGAAGAAAAACCAUUUGGAGCCAAGACGUGAAACGACAUUGUUUUAGCCACACCCGUAGGGGGGUGGUCGAAGCAGUGUUCACCUUUCCUCGUCAAGCUUCCUAGAAAAGCUCGUACUACCAUAUUAUCGAAUGUAACCUGUACCCGAGACCGACACAGGUAGGUGGGUAGAGUAUACCAAGGGGCGCGAGAUAACUCUCUCCAAGGAACUCGGCAAAAUGGCCCCGUAACUUCGGGAGAAGGA
rnacentral:rRNA from 1 species